rnacentral:sRNA from 1 species
UACAUUGUUGAUGUGUAUGGGCUCUAGU